UAAAGUUACACGCUAACUUUGAAGUACCCAUUAAAUGGGUUUCUUGUACCCAUUUUUAUUGCUUGUACUGAGUUGUCAAAAAAAGGGUAUUAUUUUCUGACAUUAAAAAGGGUACAUUUUACUCUUCUUGAGGAAUGACUUCAGUCAGCAAUAAUGGGUGAAAUAAUGUCGUUAUUUUGAGCAGAAAGAUUGAAAUUAUUACCACGAAUUAUAUUUCAUUAAUUAACUGAAAGCAUCAUGGACCCUCGAAGAAGCACAAAAAGCGGCAAUUUAGGAGCGAUUUUUCAUCCGGGAUCUGGAACAGGAAGAUACGGAGCAAGCGCCACGGAUUCAGAUGGACCAAUGUUAUUAAUACUCCAAUUAACACUUUAUUUAAAAGUAAUAAUCUAAUAAAAUUAUUUUCAUUAGACUCUUA